AAGCUGGAGCUUGCUCUAGUGGAUUAGUGGCGAACGGGUGAGGUAACACGUGAGCAAUCUGCCCUUGACUCUGGGAUAACUGCGGGAAACUGUAGCCAAUACCGGAUACGACACCUUGGGGCAUCCCGAGGUGUUGGAAAGAAUUCCGGUCAAGGAUGGGCUCGCGGCCUAUCAGCUUGUUGGUGAGGUAAAGCUCACCAAGGCGACGACGGGUAGCCGGCCUGAGAGGGUGACCGGCCACACUGGAACUGAGAUACGGUCCAGACUCC
rnacentral:rRNA from 1 species